rnacentral:rRNA from 1 species
GACGGAGGGCGCAAGCGUUGUUCGGAAUUACUGGGCGUAAAGCGCGCGCAGGCGGGAAGAUAAGUCUGGAGUGAAAUUCCGGGGCUCAACUCCGGAGCUGCUUUGGAUACUGUCUUUCUAGGGACCGGUAGAGGCCGGUGGAAUUCCCGGUGUAGCGGUGGAAUGCGUAGAGAUCGGGAAGAACACCCGUAGCGAAGGCGGCACUCUGGGCCGAUACUGACACUGAGGAGCGAAAGCGUGGGGAGCGAACAGG